CUCCUCCUCUUCUUCUUCCUCCUCUUCAAAAGCCGACACAGGAAAAGACCUAGAAAGUCCAGUAGGGGUAGCAAAGUUAAUCUUCUUACACUCCGGAUCGGAAAUUGAAAUAUCAGAAAUCGUAACCCAGAUGAGGAUCUCCUUGCUCUUUACGCCGGUGAGCUUCUUCAUCCGGCGAUUCUCCACAAACGCCGUCACCUCAGUAUCGUACCAGACGAGCUUCCCGAUCUUCUUAUACUUGUGCUCUUUCGCCUUCUUCUGUUUCAGCCACACGAAUCCGGUUUCGGCGUUGCGGCCGACUUCUACAAUGUCUUCAAGUGGGAGAAGACCAUUAGGCAUGUUGAUUUCCUUCAGGAGUUCAAGUGAUUUCUGCUUGCAAACCACCGGAUCUGUGUAAAUUUCGGCAUUUUCACGGUGGCUUGCGAUUACUUGAGACAUGUUUUUUCCGAUUUCACAGAGAUUUGAAUUUUUUUUAAGCGAUUUGAGGAGGGUGAGGAUUGUAA
rnacentral:misc_RNA from 1 species